GAUGAACGCUGGCGGCGUGCCUAAUACAUGCAAGUCGAGCGAACAGAUAAGGAGCUUGCUCCUUUGACGUUAGCGGCGGACGGGUGAGUAACACGUGGGUAACCUACCUAUAAGACUGGAAUAACUCCGGGAAACCGGGGCUAAUGCCGGAUAACAUUUAGAACCGCAUGGUUCUAAAGUGAAAGAUGGUUUUGCUAUCACUUAUAGAUGGACCCGCGCCGUAUUAGCUAGUUGGUAAGGUAACGGCUUACCAAGGCAACGAUACGUAGCCGACCUGAGAGGGGGGUGGGGCAGAGUGAGAGAGAGACACGUGACAGACAAAAACGGGAGGGAGAAGUAGGGAAUCGGACGCGAGGGGCGAAAGCCUGAAGGAUCAACGCAGCGGGAGAGAUGAAGGGUGUCGGAUAGUAAAACGAUGUUGUGAGGAAAGAAAAAAGGGGUAAGGAACUAGGCAGGACUAGACGGUACCUAAGCAGAAAGCAAAGGCUAACUACGUG
rnacentral:rRNA from 1 species